GAUGAACGCUGGCGGCGUGCCUAAUACAUGCAAGUCGAACGAAACUUCUUUAUCACCGAGUGCUUGCACUCACCGAUAAAGAGUUGAGUGGCGAACGGGUGAGUAACACGUGGGCAACCUGCCCAAAAGAGGGGGAUAACACUUGGAAACAGGUGCUAAUACCGCAUAACCAUAGUUACCGCAUGGUAACUAUGUAAAAGGUGGCUAUACUACCGCUUUUGGAUGGGCCCGCGGCGCAUUGGCUAGUUGGUAGGGUAAAGGCUUACCAAGGCAAUGAUGCGUAGCCGAAUUGAGAGGUUGAUCGGCCACAUUGGGACUGAGACACGGCCCAAACUCCUACGGGAGGCAGCAGUAGGGAAUCUUCCACAAUGGGCGAAAGCCUGAUGGAGCAACGCCGCGUGGGUGAAGAAGGUCUUCGGAUCGUAAAACCCUGUUGUUAGAGAAGAAAGUGCGUGAGAGUAACUGUUCACGUUUCGACGGUAUCUAACCAGAAAGCCACUGCUAACUACGUG
rnacentral:rRNA from 1 species